UCUUCAAGUGGCUCAGAAGAAGCAAAAGUCUGAAGUGGAGAGAAACAAAACUGAAGUGAUUCUGUGGGAAUCAUUUACUCGACGGCGUGAGCUGGAAACUCAAUAUGGUCUUUCUCCUGGACAGUUAUUAUAGUUCUGUGACAUCCACUCCCCUAACACACGCACAAUGGGCCAGACCGCAGCCCCGUUAUGUGUAACUACUAUGAAGGACACGCUCUGAUUGACAAAGACGUAGUACCAGUACAUCCCAGACCCACAGUGAAGCCUCAGAAGAUCCACAGAGGCCUGGGCUCUUGUCUGGUCCAGCACCAACAAUAGAGGAACAGUAGCAACAAAGAGCCAGCAGA